UCCCUCUUAGCUCAGUGGUAGAGCGCAUCACUCGUAUUCGUUGAGCAUAUGAUGAGGUCAGUCGUUCAAUCCGGCUAGCGGGAA